GUCGUUGCAAAAGAAAUCCUGCUCAGUACGAGAGGAACCGCAGGUUCGGACAAAUGGUACAUGUGCCUGCUCGACCGAGCAAUGGCACGACGCUAUCGUCCGAGGGAUUAUGACUGAACGCCUCUAAGUCAGAAUCCCGUCAUUAUACGGUAACGAU
rnacentral:ncRNA from 1 species